rnacentral:lncRNA from 1 species
GGUCUGGUUCAUUGGGAGCCACGUGAUUGAACUUGACAACUGUGUACAGACAGAUGAGGAGCACCGGAAUCGGGGGAAGCUGAGUGACCUAGUGGCUGAGCACCUGGACCACCUGCACUACCUCAAUGACAUCCUGAUCAUCAACUGUGAGUUCCUCAACGACGUGCUCACAGACCACCUGCUCAACAGGCUCUUCCUGCCUCUCUACGUCCACUCCCUGGAGAAUCCCGACAAGGGAGGAGAACGGCCGAAAAUCAGCCUGCCUGUGUCCCUCUAUCUUCUCUCCCAGGUCUUCCUCAUUAUACAUCAUGCCCCGCUGGUGAACUCUCUGGCUGAAGUCAUUCUGAAUGGCGAUCUGUCUGAGACAUAUACGAAGCCUGCACAGGAUGCUCCCAGAAGUUCUG